ACUCAAAUGAAUUGACGGGGGCCCGCACAAGCAGUGGAGUAUGUGGUUUAAUUCGAAGCAACGCGAAGAACCUUACCAGGGCUUGACAUCCCUCUGACCGGUAUAGAGAUAUACCUUCCCUUCGGGGCAGAGGAGACAGGUGGUGCAUGGUUGUCGUCAGCUCGUGUCGUGAGAUGUUGGGUUAAGUCCCGCAACGAGCGCAACCCCUGUUGUUAGUUGCCAUCAUUAAGUUGGGCACUCUAACAAGACUGCCGGUGACAAAUCGGAGGAAGGUGGGGACGACGUCAAAUCAUCAUGCCCCUUAUGUCCUGGGCUACACACGUACUACAAUGGCGAAUACAGAGGGAAGCAAGACAGUGAUGUGGAGCCAAUCCCCAAAAUUCGCCCCAGUUCAGAUUGCAGGCUGCAACUCGCCUGCAUGAAGUCGGAAUUGCUAGUAAUGGCAGGUCAGCAUACUGCCGUGAAUACGUUCCCGGGCCUUGUACACACCGCCCGU
rnacentral:rRNA from 1 species